AGUGCUCUCUUCCGCCUUCAGUGCCCUGCUCAUCAAGGGUCUGGGUUUCCCGGUCCUCUGGCGAGGAUCCUCCAAGGCGUCUCACAUGAACCGGCUCAGAAACGCCAAAAUCUACGUGGAGAGAGCUGUCAAGCAGAAGAAGAUCUUUACAAUCCAAGGCUGCUACCCGGUGAUCCGGUGUCUCUUGCGCCGGAGGGGCUGGGUGGAGAAGAAGAUGGUCCAUCGCUCAGGCCCCACCCUACUGCCACCCCAGAAGGAUCUGGAUAGCUCAGCAAUGGGUGACAGUGACACCACUGAGGAUGAGGAUGAAGAUGAGGACGAGGAGUUCCAGCCAUCACAGCUGUUUGACUUCGAUGAUUUACUGAAAUUUGAUGACCUAGAUGGAACACAUGCUCUGAUGGUGGGUCUAUGUCUCAAUCUCCGGAAUUUGCCGUGGUUUGAUGAGGUUGAUGCCAACUCCUUCUUCCCACGCUGCUACCGCCUGGGGGCUGAGGAUGACAAAAAAGCCUUCAUAGGUAAGGAGACCCCCAGCCCUAUGCCUGAACCUCAGGCUGA
rnacentral:sRNA from 1 species